AUUGAACGCUGGCGGCAUGCCUUACACAUGCAAGUCGAACGGUAACAGGUCUUCGGAUGCUGACGAGUGGCGAACGGGUGAGUAAUACAUCGGAACGUGCCUAGUAGUGGGGGAUAACUACUCGAAAGAGUGGCUAAUACCGCAUGAGAUCUACGGAUGAAAGCAGGGGAUCGCAAGACCUUGUGCUACUAGAGCGGCCGAUGGCAGAUUAGGUAGUGGGUGGGAUAAAAGCUUACCAAGCCGACGAUCUGUAGCUGGUCUGAGAGGACGAUCAGCCAAACUGGGACUGAGACACGGCCCAGACUCCUACGGGAGGCAGCAGUGGGGAAUUUUGGACAAUGGGCGCAAGCCUGAUCCAGCAAUGCCGCGUGCAGGAUGAAGGCCUUCGGGUUGUAAACUGCUUUUGUACGGAACGAAAAGCCCUGGGUUAAUACCCUGGGGUCAUGACGGUACCGUAAGAAUAAGCACCGGCUAACUACGUGCCAGCAGCCGCCGUAA
rnacentral:rRNA from 1 species